CAGUCGCCGCGGUAAUACGUAGGUGGCAAGCGUUGUCCGGAAUUAUUGGGCGUAAAGGGCUCGCAGGCGGUUUCUUAAGUCUGAUGUGAAAGCCCCCGGCUCAACCGGGGAGGGUCAUUGGAAACUGGGAAACUUGAGUGCAGAAGAGGAGAGUGGAAUUCCACGUGUAGCGGUGAAAUGCGUAGAGAUGUGGAGGAACACCAGUGGCGAAGGCGACUUUCUGGUCUGUAACUGACGCUGAGGAGCGAAAGCGUGGGGAGCGAACAGGAUUAGAUACCCCGGUAGUCCCUGUCUCUUAUAC
rnacentral:rRNA from 1 species